rnacentral:sRNA from 1 species
AAUAAAAAAUUCAACUGUCUGCCAGAGGUUGUAGCAAAAACGAAGAAAACCUUCAAUGGCAGAAGGCUAAUUGUUAGACUCAGUUGGCCAACACCAUCAUCGCGCCAAGUGCCCCCCGCUCUCCACACAACAACCACAAGGGCUAUAUGGCGACACGUAGAAGCGAUAACAACAAAGUGACAAUACCACGAAUGCGCCGAGCAGAAGAAAAGCCCAACCGAGCAAACCAAUAUCGUGGAGAACAGAAGGACAAAGAAACCACCUCUCUAUGCAGGGCAAGCCGUUAAACAAAGGCCAGAACCUUAUUUAACCCUUAUUAAUGAGAUCUGUGAGCACGAGUGUGUGCAAAGGGCUAUUGAAAAUGUUCAAGUCAAUACCAAGCCCACACACCAAUGUAUGUUAGGAUGUGUCAGGACUCGAAUAGCAAACGUUCGUACAUUUUGUUUCAACAACAAUUAUACUUUUAUUGAAGCUUUUCACACUUUGGCAAAAAGGAUUUCACAUCAUUUGGACACCGUUGUGAUGAUGAACCUUCCAUGCUCUGAUGCCUUUUACAAACUUAUGACGAUGUGACGAACGAAGCCUAUGCCCAAUCUGAUUCAUUUUCUGAUGAUGAUGAAUCUCACUCGGUGCUAAUGAAUGCCUGCUGUGUCAAUAUAAAAUGUUGACAAAACACAAAUCAAAACGACAAAGUUUUCUCUUCUUUGGUAGUCAUUGACUUCAGCUCACAGUUUGAUCGGCCCCGGCACCACACCGUGAGAGGAGUUGCAAGAGUUGUUAGUAGUACAAGGAAACUAUUUAACAAAAUCAUUGAACGGCAAAAAGUAACAUACGCGUCCAAAUUAAGUUUAACAAAUUUUUAAAUUGUUCUUCUUUUGAAUGGGAACAAAAAAAGUACCCCCUCAGCAUGUUGCCAACAACCUUUUUGGUCAUAGCCAGCAAGCAACAUUAAACCGAACAGAAUUUCAAUUCAU